AGAGCAAAGCUGUCUGACUAAGUAACAGUAUCGAUAUCAUUUGCAUGAGAGCAUGUGUCGGGUUCUAUGUUCUUCCUGUUCCGCGUUUCUCUGGAUAUCGUGCGUGUCGCUAAUUCUCUACAAGACAACAGCACAGCUUCCUUGUAGCUACAUUGCUAAUGGUUGUUCCAUUCCAUAUGAUCUGCCAUUCAUCUACAAGGACACAUUCAAACCAGCUUGUGAUAUGCACGAUCAGUGCUAUGUGUGUGCUGGACUUUACGGGAAAACUCGAGAAUACUGUGAUGACAGGUUCCUGGAUAAUUUACAAAGGAUCUGCAAUGGACUGUCAUUUUUGUUCCGUUUGCGAUGUCAUCGUUACGCAGGGAUUUAUUACUAUAGUGUUAGGGUGGGUGGCGGGGGGUAUUUCGAUGGUAAUGCUUGGCCUCACUGCCCAAGUGUAGGACACUGCAUAUAGAAAUUAGUCAAUUCAAAAUGUAUUAAGAUUUCACGUAUACGAAUUCUGAGAUUUACAUACAAGGAAAUAAAACUAACAACUAGAUUGGAGCCGACCUGAUGCUUGGGACGAUGUGUUCACAUUUCAUAAAGGAAGGGAAGAACUCAAUGAUAACAUUGACGGAGCUACUUUCACACUACAUUCUUCUCAUUUGACUUGAAACACAAAAGUACAGUAUGUAUUAUUAGUUCGAUCAACAUCACAAAAUAUGUUACAUUAAUCUAUUAAUUGAUUAAGCAACGAUGGUACUUGAUUCUAUUAUCACCACUUAAAAAUCUGACACCCGUGCUGGAUAAAAAGGCAGAUACAGUUUCUACAGUCAUCUGGCCCAGAAAAUGAAUGAUUUCAGUAGGAGUCCCAAAAUCUAACAUUUAAAAAAGGAAUGUAUAAGCAAACCCAAACCAUGUUUAAUUUGAUCAAAAUAUUGCUCUGUGUUAUACGACAGGAGUAUGAAGUUGAGAUCAAAUUGUAAAAAUGCCAAAAUCAAUGAAAAUAUUCAUAAAUUCAGAGGGUUUUCCUUUCGGAAAACAUACUUCUUCAUACUUAGAUAUUUUACUGAAAGUAGACAUUAACGGCAAACUGACAACUCAACUGUAUGAUAAACGGGAUGAUUUAAGCUUCUCCAUCGUCAACUUUCCAUAUUUAUGUAGCAAUAUUCCAUUAUCACCUGCAUAUGAUAUUUAUAUAUCUCGACUGAUUCGAUAUACAAGAGCUUGUUCUGCGUAUAGUCAGUUUUUAAAUCGAGGUAAGCUACUGACAAACAAGUUGAUGGUAGAAGGGUUUCCACAGUCUCGAUUGCAGUCAGCAUUUCGCAAAUGUUAUGGUCGUUAUAACGAUCUAGUUCGUCAGUACAACCUAUCAUUGAGUCAAAUGCUGUCUGACGUGUUUCAUACCGAUUGUUAAGCCGUUCUUGUCACACUGAUUUUGACUGCGGAUAACUCCGUUUACCUGAUCAGGAUAUAGGGCUCACGGCAGAUGUGACCGGUCAACAGGGGAUGAUUGCUCCUCCUGGGCGCCUAGUCCCACCUCUAGUGUGUCCGGGGUCCGUGUUUGCCCAACUAUCUAUUUUGUAUUGUUUAUAGGAGUUGUGAGAUUGAUCGCUGUUCGUUAUCUUCACCUUGCAUACAGCCCAUCCGUAGAACAAAUUCAUAUUCAAAUAUAUUUUUCAUCUUCUAUUAACAUACAAUGUAUAGUAAUUUCAUUUUGAUCGAAAGAUGGGUACACCUUAACAUAAACAAUAAUGUGGAUGAAUUUUUCUUAUGAUAUAUACGGAAUUUAACAGUUAUCAAGAUCUUUUUUAAAAAAUGUAAAACUUAAAAUACGGUACCAAUUUUGAUGCACCAGAUGCGCAUUUCGACAAAUAAUGUCUAUUCAAUGAUGCUCAAGCCGAAAUUUUGAUAAUUCGAAAUCACAAUAAACUUGUAAAAGCUGAAAGGAAAACUAGAGUGCCAAAAAUUGGAGCCAAAUUCGCCAAAGGAUGUGAGCUAUGCACGGGCGAGAUAAAAUGCGAUGAAAAGUCUUAUCCAUGGCAUAAUAAUGCUAUCAGAUAAGCAAUAACUUUGAUUUAAUUGAUAUACGUUACUUGACAUAUAUAUCCAACUUAAAACACAGAUCAACCUUAAUUCAAGACAUAUUUGAAAUAUAUUAAGUUUUGCGCCAUUUUAUGUGUACAAUUGUACCUUGUUCUUAUGUAUUUUCACUUAAAUUGCAUUAAAAUCACAGUCCAUAUAAGUUUUGUUGCUUUACAUU